GCUAGGACGAACGCUGGCGGCGUGCUUCAUACAUGCAAGUCGAACGAGAAGCUUACUCGGUAAGUGGAAAGUGGCGGACGGGUGAGUAAUGUGUAGAGAAUCUGCCCUAGAGUGGGGGAUAGCAGUUGGAAACGACUAUUAAUACCCCAUAUGCGCGUAGCUGAGAUGCUAUUCGUGAAAACUCCGGUGCUCUGGGAUGAGUCUGCAUCUGAUUAGCUAGUUGGCGGUGUAAUGGACCACCAAGGCGACGAUCAGUAGCUGGUUUGAGAGGAUGAUCAGCCACAAUGGGACUGAGACACGGCCCAUACUCCUACGGGAGGCAGCAGUAGGGAAUUUUGCGCAAUGGGGGAAACCCUGACGCAGCAACGCCGCGUGAAUGAAGAAGCCCUUCGGGGUGUAAAGUUCUGUCAGUGGGGACGAAACUUGACGGUACCCACAGAGGAAGCAUCGGCUAACUCCGUGCCAGCCGCAGC
rnacentral:rRNA from 1 species